CUAUUCGUUUGACUUCUACAUUUACUUCGCCUCCACCAGAUGGCUAGCAAACAGAUUGGAGUCAGCACUCGCUCAUCUGUUCUAGAUCCAGUAUGUUAUUUAGCUCAUUAAAAUUGUUGGUGUUGAUGAUAAUUUGGUGCUCUUUUUGAUGCUUUGACAUGGAUUGGAGCAAAGAGAAGAGUCACAGGAAGGUGCUUUGGAGGAAGAGCUCAACAAAAUAAUUUCUUACUCCAUGGAGCAUUUCUUACUAAAUCUCAAAAUCCUCUCAAUUCUUGUUGUUCUCAGUUCAUAGCCCGUCAGACAAAUAUGCAUGCCCAGACACGCACUAUCUUCAGUUUAGUACCUUCACGAGUAGAGGACAGAUUAGGGUAGCGACUUUUAGGUUGCAGUUUGGUGGCCUGAUAGGGUAGAUUGCUUGAUGUUCUUUUAAGUUCUUGCAGUUAAUCAUUAACAGUGUGGUUCUACAGUUUGAUCCGAGAUGGAUGCCUUUGUUCUGCAGUUUGGUGGCCUGAUAGGGUACAUGGCCACAAGGACAACUGAAUCAAUUUCUUACUUAAAGUCUGUGAGAUUAACUCGUGCAUGUGUUUCUGAACAGGGCAUGUAAUUAAGCUCCUAUUCCUGAUAGCCUACAACCGAUUUGAUUGGCUUGUGUAUGUUGCUUACAGGCUUGACUGAAUAUAAUUUACAGUAAAGAGCUUAUUUGGUUGAACCAUAUUUUACUUUGGGAGAAGAGAGAAGGCAUUUGUGUAUUUUCUUGCCAGCAGUAGCUAACUGUACUAUAGUAGAUCAUAUGCAGAGCUGGAAGGUGCAGUUGUUCCAAAUCUGGUAUUGUGCUAAUACUUCUAUCCAAGCUGCCAUGAGAAAAUGAUCCUCAUUAGUUCGAGAGGAUUUUGAGAUUUAGUAUUGCUUGUACGAGUGAUUCCUUUCUCAGUGUCACUUUCAAUAUGUUUCCUUUCUUUUCAUCCCUGUAGCGUAGAAUGGCAAGUGACAUACUGUAAUUACAUUUUUGUAAGGGAUGUCGGCAUGUUAACAUACUUCGCUGGAGUGCGUUAAUUUGACCUUUUGGGACAUCUCUAUAAUUUUUUACUUUGACCGUUUUCGUUGCUUAGGCUGCAGGACAUCAUGGUGGUGGUGGACCUCGUGGUGAUCAGAGGAGUGCAGGAGGAGAUGUGUUUAAAUGGUUAGCAAGACCGUUCGGUCUGAAUAAAUCUCAAAAAGCGGCAAAGGAUGAUUCAGGGGUCACUAUUGAGGAAGAAAUUAGAUGGUGGAGCUCACACUGAGAGGUAUGACCUGAAGGGAGGAUGAAGGAUAUGUUGAUGUGCUUCGAUGGUUGAGGCGGGUGUCACGGCCAUGGUUCUUCCUUUCUGCCACUGAUGGCACCGGAUGGCAUCGACGGCAUGCAGGUAAACCUUGACUAGCAGUAACGAGGUAGCAUGCAUGUCAUUUCUCAUGUUCUUUGCCCAUUUGUGUCAGAUUUCAGUUCCUUUUAUUUUCCAGAUCAUUCUAAGUUGUAGUGUAAUAUGAUGAUGGUUGUUUGUGCCUAUAGCAAGGAUGACAGAUUAAGCUUGAAAUUAAUCCGUCAGACUAUUGUUUGUGUUUCCUGUUUCUUUCUUUAGGUAGCAUCCUGGAACUGUAAUGUGGUGUGCAAUGUCUCAAACAUUUGUUAUGUAAAAGAAAUGUUGGCAUUUUGAGCUUGAAGAAUGCACUGUUAUUUUGCCUCCACAUUCUCCUGGAUUUGUGCCAAAAUUGUACUACUAUUUUCCAGUUGCUCCUUAUUUUGGUAGGAACUGGAGUUUUCGGAUGCCAAGUGUAUGCAUGUGUUACACAUGGAGUUCUUAAUUGUUGAAUUUGUUGGUCCUUUUUCACUGCUUUAGCUCUUUGUUCCAUUGUAGGAGCUAUCAACUCACUUUUCAUGUAUUUUGGUUACUGGAAAAUUUAUUGAGACUCAAGAAUCAAGACAAAGGCAACAAAAUUCCGAAGGUGGUAAUUUUUUGUUCCCAUAUGUGAAUGAGUGAAUACUAAUUGCUGCAAAUCUGUACUAGCCAUCCGAUACUUUGCAGAUUGCCUAUAUUAAAGCAUGGUUAGUGCGUAGUUCUGAGUUUCUGGUUCUCAUCUGCUUUCCAUUCUUGAGUGCUUUAGCCAUCAUUGUUUGAAACGUCUUAAAGCCUAAUGUUACAAUGAUAUGAUAGCCCAGAGGGAGUACUUAGCGGGAGCGAACUAGGUGGAGGCGUGAAUUGAGGGAAGGCUGGCGGCGCGGGAGCGAGCGUGGGUCACGACGCAGCUGAGCGGUCACCAGCGUCUCUUUGCCGGCUAUAGGGGAGGCGAAGAUGUUUGGACAAGCAGGCAAGGGAGGAGGACCAGGGAAGGCGCAGCAGCAGCGAGGCCAUGGGGAAAGGGAAAGAGGCCAGUGGGAGGCUUUCUGAGCCAUGACGCAAACCAUGUCCAUCUCCUCCUGACGGCUCUGCACCGACAUGGCAGGUCCGCCGCGGCUCCGACAACUCUCCUCAGAGAUGACGCCGCUUCCUCGUAGCGCUGAUGGCGACAACGACGGCCAUCUUCGGUCGACCCGGUUGCCUAGCGGCCACCGACAUAGGUAUGAGCCUAGGAAACAUCUCCUCCCCUGAGACUCACCCUUCCUUUGCCUCAGAUCUGUCUGUCACGAUGGCUUUUCUGGCUCGUUUUCCUCCGGGAGGUACCUCAUGGCCAUAACUUGGGAACCAAAGAGAACACACAUAACUUUUCUCCUCUGCCUCAGAUCCGUCUGUCACGAUGGGCUUUCUGAAUCUAGGGAACCGAAUAGACCCUGAGACAAUCUACAAAUCUUGGCGCAUAACUUUUCUCCUAGCUAAUAAAUACAUAUGCAUCUUUUUCAGCAUUGGGUUGCACACACAAUUCAUCCAUAAUAGAUGCUCCAAGCAGCACAAUGCAUUACAUUAUUUCAAGUCAGGGACUUCUAAAAGUCAGAAACGCUUCUGAUAUUACGAAGAUGGUAAAAAGUUCAAUAAUAAUCGGUUGAGGCCAUCAAGGUAUAGUAUAUUUUCCCCAUUAUAUCUUGUUUGUUUUAUCCGAAAAACGUUAUAUAUGCGCAUACAAAAGUUAUCUUCCUGAAUGUAGAGCUGUAAACCAUGCACCAAAUGUUUGAAGCCUGGCUUGGUCUUCUGGAGAAGGGUUCGCUAGAAGUUCAUUGGAGCAUGGGUUUCCCUGCAAUAGACAUACAUGUAGUAGCAUCCAAGAUUCCAAAGCCCCAUCUUUAUGGGAAACCUGCAAAAGAUGAUGGUUUGCUUUUCUUUGUGUACACUACUAUAUUUUGAAGUCAUUCAGUUAUCCUA